GGCGGCCAGGUGCCGGGGCGCGCGCCCGGGGCGCGGGGGGCGGAGCCCGGCAGGGGGUGCGGGUCCCGGCUCCGUCAGUGACUGCCCGGGGCUCGCGCGUGAGGGGAGCCGGGCAGACGCCCGCCCCCUUCAAAGCCUGAGGAGGCUGCGGGGACCGGGUGAGGGGCUGGAAAGGGCGUGAGGGGUGGGGGGCGCUCAGGCCCUGCCGCCUUCCCGGGAGCGGCGAGGGCACGGGGGCCAAGCCGACUCUCACGUCUGGGCUUCCUCGGGGUGCACAAAACCCGAGGGAGCGGACUGAGACGUGGUCCCCGGGAGGCGGCUGUCCCCCCUCGGGUGGCCGCGCGGGAGGGCAGAGGCCGGAGGGGAAGGGGCCGAGCCAAGUGGCCGAGUCUGACACGUCGAAGGAGAAGGAGCUCUCUUCUCUCCGACCCUUGGCCCUCCGCACCUGAGGAGGUUAGAAAAGGGGGGCGUCCGGGGAUGGCUGCCCUCCCCCGGGGGGCGCAGCACCCGUGGGCGGGGGAGGGGACGACGACGCCGGCCUUCUGGGCGGAACGGCAGCAUCUCUGCAGCCAAACUGGCUGUGGGCGCCCGAGUCUUUCUCUCUGCCCCACAGUUCCAAUCCGAAGCAAGGCGAUGAUGGUUCUCUCCCCCCAAAACCUCCUGCCUGGCUUGCAUUUUUUUUUUUUUUUCCGCCCUCUUUCUUCUUUCUCAUCUGAAGGGUUUUGCCUCCCACUCGAGAGAAAUCAAUUAAAAAAAAAAAAAAAAAAGAUGUGCUGGAUGCAUCCUUGGAUGGAGGAGGAGAGGAAUGACUCCCUCACCCUGCUACACACGCCCCCACGCCACCCCACAGCUCUGAAACGGCUUUUCUUUCUUCGGCAGCCGCACUCUGUUGCCAUUCCAGGCUUGUGUGGGAGAAGACUGCUGUGCGCCUGUGUCUGUCCGCCCGGGCGACUCCAGCCCUCGGUUAAUGAAAGGAAGAGGAAAUAGAAGCAUGAAGAAUUUGCCAGGCAGCAGGCUAAAUCAGGUUCAUCGUUUGUUAGUCCAUUCGGAGUGCAGAGGGGGCUUCCUGGAUGGCUCAGCAAGUAAAGUAUCCACCUGCAGUGCAGGAGACACAGAAGACUCAGAUUCAGUUCCUGGGUCAGGAAGAUCCCUUGGAGGAAGCAGUGGCAACCCACUCCAGUAUUCUUGCCUGGAAAAUCCAAUGGACGAAGAGCCUGGUGGGCUACAGUCCAUGGGGUUACAAAGAGUCAGACACGACUGACUAAGCGUGCGCACAUGCACACGCACGCACGCACGCACGCACGCACGCACACACACACGGGCUGCAGAGAAGAUACCCUCAUCCGCACUUGUUUCCCUCCACUUACACAGAGCUGUGUUUUCCUUCCCAUUAUGUCUAUUUGGUUCUGGCUAGGUCAUGAUUGCUUAUGUCAAAGACCAAAGAAAAUACCAUUAGAACCCAUCACUGGAACAUCUACAUUUCACACAACCCUGAAGGGAUACAUUUUUAUAGGAAGCAAAGAGGUAUGUUGCCCUCUAGGAACUGUAUGUCACUUUAGGGUGAUUAGGCUGACAUGCAUUUCCCUGAUGGAAAACAGGUACGAUAACCCUUGACAUCAGGAUAAUGUCGAGGUGGGAUUGGAGGUCAAGGUUUAGAAGGAUAUAAUUGAGGUGAGGGGGAUGGAAACAGCUUUUCUUCCGGAACAGAUUCUUCCUUUAUAACUUCAGUGUGACUCCUAUAUUUUUUAAUAUAUAUUUUAUAAUUUUAUAUGAGCACAUUCACUCAUACAGUUAACAGAUGUUCACUGAGAUCCAGUUGUGUGCUAGGCCCCAUUGUAAGGGCGAGAAGUAUUGUAGAGAGCAAAAGAGCUAAGAGCCCGGGCCUUUCUCCCUUUGCCAGUGUAUACUGAAUGGGGGAGAGGGACAUAAUAAGACAAUGAAUAAGGUAUUUUUCAGGGAAUGAUCAAAACUGUGAAGCCUGUAAGCAUAUGUUCAUGCCUUACUAGGUUCUGGUAGCUAGAGCCAAAGGGUACAAUGAUGAAUAAAAGCCUCUUGCCCUAGUUAGUGAAUUUUAGCCAUGGGCUCCUUUAGCUGGGGUUGUCUGGAAAGUGAGACCUCAAAAAUGAAUUUUCAGUCACGCAGAGAUGGAGGGGAAAGAGCAAUGUUCCAAGGAGGCAGCAUGUUCAAGACACAUAAAGAAGGCUACUGUGGCUGGAAUGUUGCAGGGACAGGGGAGUGUAACAGAAGGUGAGGCUGAAGCCCGAGUCAGGGGCUUAGAAUAAUCCAGGCCUUGUAAGUCAGAUCAGAGGGUGAAAGUCUGACUUCUUAUUUCUCUACUGUGGUAAGCCAUUGGAGGGUUUUAAGGAGGGACAUUCUGUGACUUUACUUUUCAUUUUAGAAGUUUACUCUGGCAGUUGUGUACGGAAUAGACCCAGGGACGCGUGAGGGGAAGUGGGAGCUCUGUUAGAAGCUGAAAGGUUAUGGAGGCCUGGUGCGGGGGAGGAGUGUGGAGAAGUUGAAUUGGAGAUCUGUUCUGAAGGCAGGACAACAGGGCAAGCUGACUGAUGGCGUGUGGGGUGUUAGAAAGAGAGGAGUUGAAGGACAAAAGCCCCUGCAUUGGACGCUCAGAGUCCUAACCACUGGACCCCACCACUGUGCUCUUGGAGCCUGGAACUGUGUUCUUGGUUAAGCACUGGUAGAAUGAAUGAAUACCAUAGCUGUUGAUAGGGUUAGGGUCUAAGCCUAAAUCAAGUGCCCUGCCUCAAAGGAGGGCUUUCUCCCUUUUGCCUGAUAGAUGUUAUCUCCACUUGGGGCCCGCUGGGAUUUUACCAGUGUACACACUGAACUGCAGUAUAAAACGGUAUUUCACUUUUCACCACCCUAAAUGGACCCUUUCCACAGAGUCAGCUGAUGCUGAAGUAGGUCAGAACAGGGCAUGUGUCUGUGGUCUGUAUAAAGCGUAUAAUCCUGUUACAACCUGUGGUAAAUUGUCUGCAAAGAUGGCUGGGACUUCCCUCAUAGUCCAGUAGUUAAGAAACUGCUUUGCAAUGCAAAGGAAGCAGGUUCUAUCCCUGGUCAGGGAACUAAGAUCCCACAUGCUGCGGAGCAACGAAGCCCACGAGCCACAGCUAGAGAGUCCGUGUGCCACAAUGAAAAGUCCUGCGUGACACAAGGAAGUUCCUGCGCGCUGCAACCAAGGUCCAACACAGCCAAAUCAGUUCAUUAAAACAACAUUUUUUUUCCAUCUCUGUGCAUAUGUUGCCCCUCCCAACAACAGACAGAGUUUGUUCCCCAUCCCCUUGAAUCUGGUGGCCUUGAGACGUGCUCAAUAGAAGUUAAAAUAACAUCCUAUGACUUUGGGCCUGGGACUUAAGAGCCCUUGCAACUUUCAGUUUUAAUGCCUUGGGAUCUAGACACCAGGUUUAAGAAGCUUGUAAUUCUAAAUGAUGUGAAACCACAGGGAGAGAGAGAAGCCCAGCCAGCGUCCAGCCAUCCCAGCCUCUGCAGCUGAGGUGUAAAACGUGAAUCAAGCCGUCUUGGAUUCUCCAGCCCAGCCAAGCUGUGCCAGCCAGCCAAAUGCAGCAGACAAAAGAACCCCGCUCAAAUCGCACGAUCAUGCGAGAUAAUGAAUGGGGCUGUUUUAGGCCACUGCUUUGGGGAGUUAUUUGUUAUUUAGCAACAGAUAGCUAAACUAGAAUCUGUUCCAGGAUUCAUUUUAUGGCACAACUUCUAGAAACACACUGUAUUUAAAAGCAGGGUGCCUUCAAUUUCUAGCAAAACUACAGAUGUAGUUAUCUCUUGUCUCAGCUGUGUCCCUUCUAGGAAUCAGUUCCAAAGGUAUCCUGGCAAAAAUACAGAGAGAUAUAUUGGCUAUUAAUUUCAGCACUAUUUGCAAUAGCAUCAAACUUCAAACACUUCAAAUAUCUAUCAGUAGGGGACUGGAUGAAUAAGCUAUGUAGCAUCCAUGUGAUGGAGUGCUAGGCAACUGUAAAAAAGGACACUGAACCACCUCUGAACUACUGUGCAGAAACAUGCAUGUGGUAUGUUAUGCUACUGUUUAUAAUUAUUUUUUAAUGGAAGGAUUAAAUAUAACAUUUUCAAAAGAAAUUAUUGCCUAUAAGGGGAGAGAGGAGAUAGGGUAAAUGAUAUCACAGGAAUAUAAUCCACAAACUCUAGACUGUGGGAAACAUUAUGAAACAGCCGACCCAGUUUCUUCAAUAAUUAAAGAUUUUUUUUAAAGGGUGAUAGAAUGGGAACCUGGUGAUUAAAAAGAGGGACUUAAGAGCAUGUGAAACAAUUAUAAUUUAUGAACCUAUUGGUAUUCUGAUUUGAAUAAUUAAACUAAAAGUUUAUGAGACAAUGGGAAAGUGAAAACAUGGGUUGAAUAUUCAACAAUAUUAAGAGUUUGUUAUGCAAGUGUGAUAAUGAAAGUGUGGUAAUCUUCUUAAAAGAGUAAUCAUGUAUUUGAGAUACACAUCUCUAUUUUGUAUAGUUGAAAUCCUGUGACACUGGGAGUCACUUCAAAAGAAUUACAUGGAUUGGUUAAGUGAGUGAAAUUAUAGAUUAAACCAAAUUGGCUGUGAGUUGAAAAUUAUUGAAUCUGCACAGUUUGUUCAUGAAGGUUCAUUAUGUUGUCAUCUUUACUUUUGCUUAUAUUUGAAAUUUUCCAAAAUAGUAAAAAAAAAAAAAAAGAAGGGCCCCUGAGCCCCGGUGUUUUAAGAGUGCUGAAUCCGUUCUCCUCAUAAUAGCACAGCUUACGCCCAUCAUCCCCAAGUCACCGCAUCUACGUCAAAUGGAAAUCAUGUCUGUGACCCAUGAUGGGUAUUUGGAACUGUGGGUGAUUGACACCAUGUCAGUAAUUUUAAAGUUACAGUGAGUUCUCAGGCGGUCCAGGUGUGUUUGUUUUUUUUUAAGAAUUUCCUGUGCAACAGGGACCUACUAUAUAGGACAGGGAACUAUACUCAAUGUCUUGUAAUAACGUAUAAGGGAAAAGAAUCUGAAAAAAAUGUAUGCACAUAUUCACAUGUAUGAAUAACUUUGCGGUACACCUGAAACUGGCAUGACAUUUUAAAUCAACUACAGUAAACAAUUUUAAUGUAAUUAAAAAGAGAAUUUCCUGUGUCGUGUUAUUUCUUACACUUAGGAGAAGGUUUAAAUAACAUGUAAAUAGUCCCCUUCUUCUCUUCCAAACACAUGCCUUUCAUUCACCCGGUCAUUCAGCACUCCUUGGUCGAGGGACUGUGUGAGAGGUUCUGGUGUUGGGGACAGGGUGCAGCCAUGCAAAAGGCUGUCAGCACGUGAGCCCACUGCUUACUGCACCGUGGGACAGGAGAGGGCUGUGACGGUCUGCGCAAGCACAGAGGAAGAGCCUGGGUGCUCUAGUAGGAGUGGGGAGAAGUUUCAGAAGAGGCGGUGUCUGGGGCAUGGUUCUGGAGAAUGGGCUUCCCUUGUGGCUCCACUGGUAAAGAAUCUGCCUGCAAUGAAGGAAACCUGGGUUCCAUCCCUGGGUUGGGAAGAUUCCCCUGGAGAAGGGAAAGGCUACCCACUCCAGUAUUCUGGCCUGGAGAAUUCCAUGGACCGUAUAGUCCAUGGGGUCUCAAAGAGUCGGACACGACUGAGCAACUUUCACUUUGCUUCACUGGAGAAGAAUAACUAAGAAUUGGAAUUAGCUUCUUUUGGAGGCAAGAUGUAACCUGAAGCUUUCCACUUUACAAAAUUCUUUUACUUUCAAAUACCAAAGUGUCCUCCUCUCCUUCCUCCAAUUAAACGAAUGACGUUGGUUGGCCAAAAGAUCUGUUCAGGAUCCAAAUGAACUUUUUGGUCAACCCAGUAUGUAUGAGUCAUCCUCAAAGUGUGGUCCCUGGACCAGCAGCAUUGCCAUCCCUUGGGAACUUUGAGCCCCAUCCCAGACCUGCUGAAUCUGAGAACCAUAGAGUCACUUCCAUAAAUGCAGCUUGAAGAAGG
rnacentral:lncRNA from 1 species